ensembl:lncRNA
UAGAGCUUGCACAUUUUUCUCUCCUAUAACCCAUCUGCAAAGCCUGCUGGUAUUUUAUCAAAAUAAUUUGUUAAUGCUAUUGAAAUUCCAUGGGAAAGUUCAAUAUUAUUCAUGUAGAAGUCUGCUGCCUUUCUAAAAAAGCUUUCCCCUCUUGUUACUGGGCCUCCUUGGAAACGAGACUGCAGCCUUAGUGAAUUAUUGCAUAGGCCAGAUAUUCUAAUAUAUGUCUUGGAGAACUCUGCCAUCAAAAACAGCAGAAAAUGGCGUAGAGCCCAGCUGAACAUGGUCGGAAAGUACAAUUGCCAUUUAUUGCUGGCAAACAGCAGGAAGAACAACAAAACAAAAUUUAAACCCAUCAUGACUGUGAAUAUAUGGCCUGCUUUCCAAAGCUGUGCUGAUGUUUUGCUCACAUUCAGACUGUUUAUGAGUGUCUGUAACAUAGCACUUCUCUGUGCUGGGUACGCUGAGAAAGGAAAGGAAGAAACAUUGGCCAGACGAUAGAUGCACCAGAUUAGCGGUGUUGGCUAAACACAGGAUGUUCUUGAGUAAUUCAAACCUUUGAACUUGUGUCACAUUGAGACGCAAAGUGGAUUUGGCUAUUGCAUGUCCUGGCUUGCAAGUCUAUUUUCAAAAUAUUUCCUAAUUCUAUUUGCUGUGCCUGACUGUUUCUACAUCUUUCCCUCCUGAGUCUGGUUCAUGGGAGUUGUGAGGAAUCUGUGAAAAAACCUCGUCUGUUCUUUGUGCCACCCUUUUGCCACUACAGCCCAGCCUUCCAGGCCUGCUGCAAAGGUCAGCCCUGACUUGGCAGAGGAAGAGCAAGGGUCAGAAAACCGGGAUGGGGAAGGACUUAUUGAAGAACACGUGCAACCUGAUGAACCAGCUCCUCUGCAAAGUGGUGAGAGAAGGCUGAGGGCAUGGGACCAUGGUACGCUAUGAAUUCUUCCUCCACCGCAGAAGGAUUGGGAUGCAGAAUUCAUCCUGGGAAGGAAAGUCUGGAAAACUGCUUUAGUGUUUUGUGGACCAUUAAAAAAAAAAAAAAAGGAAAAAAGAGGGAUAUUUGUCAUUGCAGUGAUAAAACUGUGAGCAGCUUGGAGUUCAGUCAUGCCAGGGAGAGAAUAUGAUACUUUACACGAACACGUCAACGUUUGGCAGCAAAAAGAAAACCAGGUGAGGAUAAUAUUCCCAGCCUCAAGAGAUCAUAUUCUUUGGAAAAAUGAUAGGAGAAAAAAACAUCAGGGCUAUUAUCUUCUGUACUUAGAGGAAGACUGACGGAGAAAAUGUGAGUAUUGCACCUUCGAAUUUUCUUCAUACAGCAUGAAAGAUGAGGUCUUUCCCUUAGCCAAAUUGCACCUUCAAACAGAAGGAACAAUUCUAAAGACUUUUCCUGUGGGCAGCUUUUACAUUUCAAGAAAGUUUGAGUUCUGCUCUGACUUUCAGAAAGUGACAGUCUGUUCUAAGGAAAAUAUUGAAUACUACGAAUAAUCAGUGUGCUGUGUACCAUCUAUUAGCUUGAUCUUUCUUCCUUAAUUGAUGUUUUCUGAGAAAAUAGAAUUCAGCCAAGUAGAAGAGGAAAAAAAAGUGUGUUGUGCCACAUUAAUUUUACUUCUACAAGCACAUAAAUGGUCACGUGAUUGUUCCACAGGUUAAUUUGGUACCCCUGAGUAAGUCUUUGUCUGCUUUUUAUCUUGUUAAAACUUCCUGUUCAUAAAUAAAAUUGACUUUUUAUACUUUGCUAGGCAGUCACGAUUCGGUGAAAAAAUGGCUACGAAGGCUCUUCUGUCUGCUCUGCCUUCAUUUUUACUUGGGCACCGCUUUGUCAAGGUGAAAUAUUAUGUCCUUGUGGCUUGAACCCCUGAUGCUAAAAUACAACAAAGGAAUGUAUUUUUGUUACAGCGAUGAUUGCGGCACUGUGUUCCUCAAAAAGGCACAAGCUGCAGCACAGAAUCACAAAGGAACAGAUCCAACACCAUUUGACAUAAAUGAAAAUCCUUCCAUUCGGUUCAAUAGGCUUUAAUCGGACUGGUAUUGCCUUAUUUCCCAGUUUUGUUUUGAAGUAUUCUUUACACUUAAGAGAUGAGAACUAAUCCCUUCUCUCCCUCCCUCCUCGUGUUUAUGAUCCAGGCUUUUGUAAUAGUAGCAUUUUCCUGCAAUGCCAGCAGAAUACCAAUGAAAUGUUUCUUCCCAUAGUGACACACACAAUCAUCCUCAAGUGGGAGGAAUGAUAUUUACAAUACCCUACCAGACUCUUAUCCUAGCUCCCUGGAUUCCUUCAGUCAUGUCUCAUGGGUUCCUACAGAAUGGUGUGAGAACAUGAGGAGCACCUACACUCACCAGAAAUACAAACUGAAUGGCUUAAAGCACGUAGUCUUUUGACAACUGACUCACAGAUUUUCACUCUGAGAGCACAGGCCUUACUGCAUCUGUGCUGUUGUGCUACCAUGUGCCAAACUGUAGUUGACAAAGUGAUAGAGUAGAUGAUUUUAGAUGAAGCUUUUUACUGGUAGAGAAGCCAAGAAAAACUCAUGGUUUGAGUGUCUGGAACUCCUAGACCUUUUUUCAACUUCAUUUACUUUUCAAAUGCACAGUGUAGCAAAGCUAUCAAGCAGAUAUAUCAGAUAAAGGACUCUACUGCAUCUUCGUAUUUUAGCAUUUCUAAUGCUGUUGCUCCCUUUGCAGGCAAGGGUUAUGGAAAUAAUCAGUGGAUUCACAACAAGAACAGAAGUGCUAAUGUGGUACCGAGUCCCCAAGUAAAUAAACAAUUUCCAGACAAAAUCCUUUCAACAGCAUUGUAUGUCUGUGUUAGCGCUGUGUUUCCUCCAGGAGUUACGUGGUCAGCAGCACUCCGGUUGCAGAGGAGGUCACUCACUUCCUACAGCUCUGUGCUAAAGACAGAAGGGCUUUUUGGUAGAGUAUACAACUCAGGGCUUCCAGGGAGCCACAGAAGAUGCAUUUUGUGGCACAAUUAGAGACAAAAAUGAGUAAAAAAGAAAAUCAUGGUGAGAGUGAAGGAGGAUAAAAGACAUGAAGUAAAGGCUAGUUUUGCCAGCUUCAGCAGCCAUUAGCUAAUCAGAGAUAUAAACACGUUUGUUGUUUAUCACCCAGCCAUAUAGGUACUGUAUUUUGUUACGUGAAAACAAGACCUCUGAUACUUUAUAUACUGCAGAUUAACAGGAAAGAGCUAACAGGAAAAAAAAAAAAAGACACCAUCACAAAUAGUCCUUUGCUUAUUUCAAAUAUACAGCACCUCUGCAGAAAAUACUGAUUUCAUACAUGUUGAGAAUUCAAUGUGGGAACAGGAAAUAUUUACUUUUCUUGUUCAGAGGCAAUGGAACAGCCAUUCUCCUGAAUUUUUUUUUCUUUUUUUUUCUUUCUUUCUUUAUUUUUUAUCAAAUAUAUGGAAAACCCCAUGGGGCUCCUUGAUUUCAUGUGAUUGCUACUAAUUAAGAGAUGUAGAAAGCUUGAAAUAAUCAGUUCUGAUAGGAUUUUUACCACAGCAGUUUGAAACAGCUUGCAAGAAUUGUGCAAUAUGUGUGUUAAGUUCAAUCAGGACCAACACUGGGGUCUGCUUUUUAAUGUCCCCUCUGUCCAUGGCUUACUUAAGCUUCUUAUCUCUUGUUGUGGUUCUUUUUGGAGUCCAAUCUGAAACAUUCACCCUUUUUCUUAUAUAAAUGCAGUAAAUCUCUUCUCUGUCAUCAUAAUGUAAGACUACUGGUGAAUCACUUCACAAAUUUUAACCUAAUAACUUAUUAUUUUUUACCAUUAUAACACGUAGGUGGAUAACGUUCCAUCACUGGUGACUGUAAUCACCUUCAGCGACAAUUCAGCGUCCCCAGUUCUGGUUUGAUUAAGUAUUUGCUGCUUCUAUUUCAUCCUCUCUUGACAGAGAUAACUUUGUUUUAAUUCAAACUGUCACACUCUAGAGUUCAGGAAGGACACGAAAAUGUCAGGUAAUAAUCCCUCCUCAAUCUUGUGAGUAGUUAGUGCUGCUAAUAUGCAGAACCAUCAGUAUGUUGGCAUGAUUCUAACUUAAUCAUUUGCAGCAGCCCAAGCUUUAUUGAGAUCCGUUAAAGCUGAUCUGGAUAAGCGUCGCCCAUCUUUACACAUUUUACCAUGUUUUUCGUGCUUAACAAAAGAUGAAUUUAAUCUGGCAACUCUUCCUGUUUCUGUCUUACUUUAUAAUUUUAAAUGAGUUUAAUCAGUAAUGUGGAUAUUCCAUGAGAACAAGCACACACUUUUUUUUUUUUUUUUUUUUUUAACUUUUGGAAAGUAAUCCAACCCAAAACAGGACCUCUACGUAGUUGCUUUUGUCUCUAGAUGCAUGUGCUUACAAUGGGCUAGUUGUGAAAAUAAACAGCAACACUGCCUACACUCACAAACUAAAAAGGUGAUCAAACACACGAAGGAUAUGAUCAAAUGUUAAUAAUCACUGUUUUUAUGACCCUACCAUCACCAGUGUAGUGAUUUGUAGAACAUGUGAAACCUCAUUCUCCAGUUCUCUCUCUGAGUAGAAGCAUGAAGAAGGAUAACAUUCACCCCAAGAGUUCAAACUACAGAUACGGGAAAGAGGCAUUUUCUUUUUAACAUUUGACAUGUUUAGGCUAUGAAAUAACCAAAUGGAUGGCCUCCAGUCAUUUGCCCUGAUGAUUAUGAAACUGAGUUUUAAAUACAUUCCUAUUGUUUGUAAAUGUCAUUGUACUUUACCUGGAUGGGAUUACUGGUGUUCUACACCCACCCACCUACCUUUUCUGACUUCUUUUACCCUUUGAAACAUUGGGAUUUUAUUUUGUUCUAUACCUUGAAGUCAGUAACAAUAUUUUCCACUAGUUCAAAUUCUUAUUACUUGAACGUACUUGUUUGAAGUGCAUGACACCUGCCAUCUCCGUACAUUUAGUAAUGAUGACUAAACACAGCCAAAGGGUGGUUUUGUAGCUGAUGAGUCAAUUUAUCAAUAGGAGUAAAUGACACAGUUUUGUUCAUGAGCAAGUCUUUGUAUACAGUCAGAGUGAGUACUUCAGAGAUAAGAAAUUUUCUGGGCUGAAGACUGCAAUUAAACAUAACUGUUUGUGUUUACCCCGCUCUUCCAUAAUGUUGCUAUGCUUGUUCACAGAGAACCUACUUGUACUUCUGAAACCCUUUAAUCUGAAAUGGAUCUCCCCUGAAAAUAUUUAUCUUCUCACUUUCCUUUGUUAUGUUUGUAAUCUCCCAACAAUAACAAUACAUCAAAAGCAAAUAUUUUUAUUCCAGGCUCGCAAACCAGGACCAAACUAAUGGUUACUAGCUUUUAUUGCUUAACAUGAUGCUGUAUGGUAUGGGAUAUUCAAGUGGUCAGUUUGGUUCAGCUGUCCUUGCUGUGUCCCCUUCCAGCUCCUUGUGCACCCCCCCAGCCCCUUGCUGAAUCAGGAAAGUCCUUGGCUCUGUGUAAGCAUUGCUCUGCAACAACUAAAACCAUUGGUUUGUUAUCACCACUAUUUUCAUCAAAAAAAAUCCAAAAUAAAGCAUCACAUGAACCUCUAGAAAGAAAAUUAACUUUAUUCCAGCUAAGACCAUGACAAUCCUCUGCUAAGUUUUCGUCCAAAUAGCUGCAAAGCACACAUAUUUAGUCUUUUUCAUUUCCUUAUGGCAUAGUUUGCAUUUUUCCGGAUUGCCAAGUAUUUAGACAGUGUGAUGCACUGGAGCCUGCAAAAGCUGCCUCCAUUGGAGUUCUUGCAUAGCACUGAAUAGGACCUCAUAGUCAAGACCAAUCUUCACACUACUUCACAUGUAUUAAAUUCCCUAUGCUAGGGAAAAAUAUCCUGAAUAUUUCAGAAGUAAGCUGAGGUCUGAGUGACUACUGUGCUCAAAAUGUCAUUCUUUGCAAAGCAUGCCUUUAAUUUAAAAAUCACUCUUCUUGCUAUCACUAUGAAGAUCUCCCAGGUACAGAAGGAGGUAAUUCUCUCCCUCCAAAUCAGGCAAAAGGCAUAUAUCAUUCUCAAUUGUUAAAAUUCAAAACUUUUAAACUUGUAAAAUCCAGAAUUCAUAUAUUUGUUGUUUCCAACACAGAUUUUCUCACAAGAACAUUUUUUUUUCCGUUUCCCUUUGUGGUGUCAUGAAGUCAUUAGUAUUUACUAUGGAAAACUACUUAAAAAAAAAAAAAAAAAAAAAAAAAAAGAUUGACUAUUUGGAAUUCAUGAAGGAACCAGUUAUGAGUGAUCAAAUUCAAUAUCAGUUAGAUGAAAAGUUUACCAAGAACUGAUUUCAGCUAUUUCUAAUUUAGCUUUGUAAAAGAAAGGAGAUGAAAGGCCAGAUUCUCAACUGGUAUAAACUGUCAUUGCUUCAUACAAUGAAAUGGAGAUGUAUUCUGAUGAACACCAGCUGAAUAUCUGGCUUUGAGAUCAUCAAAGCUAGCGUGGGGUUCCAUGUGGUUAUUGUCUACACAUUUCCCAAUGUGAUGUGCUGAUAUGAAUACAUUCACAUAAACUAUUGGGAAAUUAACUAUUUAUAUUAUUUGUAGGCGUAUAAUAUAAGCAAUCUCUCUGACAGAGGUAAAAGUUUAAAAAAUAAAAAAAAUAAAAAAGAGAAGAUAGAGUUUGGGAGAUGGAAGAUAUAGUAAUAAACUAACACCGUUUUUAUCAGUGUUUUUCCAAGUGAGAAGUACACUUAGCUGUAUCAGUAUAUUUGUCUUAAUUGGAGGUAAUGCUUGUGGAUUUUAUUCUCUCAAUUAUUUUUGAGGAGGUUAUUUGAAAAAAUGUCUGAAGUCAAACAUAUCUUACAUCAUCUGUUUCACAGCACCAGAAACCUAUUUUUACAUUAUCAUAUUCAAUAUCCAAACAAAAGCAAGUGAAUCCUCAAUGGUUAAUGCCCUUGGAGGACUUAGAGCAGGAGUAUGAGAUUCAACUAUAUUAAAAAAAAACUUGGUGGCCUCCAUAAGGGAAAAUAAAUGACAAGUGGAAAUAGAAAUGAAAAAAAAAGUUUGUAUUUGCUUUUGCUUGUCUUUUUCCUUUUUUAUUGCAUUUUUAUUUCCCGCUCAGAUAAUCAAAAGGAAACUAUAAAUAGCUUAGAGCAAACUUUAUAACAAAAGAACUUGGUUUGAGGUUGUCUUUAUUAUCAGCAGCUUUUAAAAGAAGCCUUGAAUAUCAUGAACUGAAGUUACUAAAGAUUCUGAAAUAGUGCAGAGGAAACACAUUUGCAUAUUACUAUCUAUGGGGAACUAUUUCCUUAUUUGCUUUAUUACAUUAUUUGUUUUAUUCUUCAUGUUGUAACUACAUUGGCUCCUUGAUAUCAACUGAGCAGUAAGCUGUAGGUUCCCACAUUACAGAGUAAACCCGAAUCAGUUCAAGAGAACAGUAGGUAAGCUGUUAAGAAUUCCUGAUUGUUUCUUCCUGCCGCUAAAAUAUUUAGGAUAACAACAAAGAAGAAAGAAAUGUCUUUAAAUGACUUGCUAAUUCCUGAUAAGCAUUGUGAAGCAUCAUCAUGUGUCUAUGUGUGUUGGCUGAAUAGUUCAGUAACCUUUGUUCUUUCCUCUCACCCUGGCUAACAAAGUUGGUUGCAUAUUUAAACAUUUGAGCGUGAUUAAAAGACUGUUGGAAAUAAUUCUAUUGAAACUGUGAAUGUCUGCAGAACUGAAUUUUAUUUCAGUGUUCAUUUAGAAGCACGUUUGUGUAACAACAUCACACUUCAAGUAGACACUUUGAAACCACAGGUUCCUAAUGUAGUGUUGAUAAAGACUAUCAAAGACAUUAUAAAGCACUGGAUUUCUGUCUAUUGUAAGGUCCUGCCAACUCAAAAUUCUGUGUUUUGAUCUGGAACUAAAAUAUAUGGGAAAUGUUCUCCAAAAUUUGAAUUCAAAAUAUUGAUUUGGGAAUUUUUCACUUAGAUCACUUAUGUGUCAUUUUUGUAUGUUUUUUUCUUAUUCUUUUUUUAGUAGUCCAUCCGUGCACUUAGUUGUAAUGCUUGGAUAGAAGAAUAAUGCUCUAAAUUAAUGACAUCACCUAUUGGCAAGCAAGGAUGUUUCAUAAUCACAGUUUAGACUCUAAUGACUAUAAGUCUAUAAUAAUUUAAUAGUCAUGGAGUCAGAAGGAGAAUGCAAACUUUGUGGUCAGACAAUCACCUGAAAAAUUACACUUGUGUACAAUCAACAAAUAUACAAUCAGCAGAGUGGCGUGGUUAGGCUGGUAUUUUACAGGUUGUGUAACUAGAAGGAUUAUCACAGUGGAAAGAAACAAACAAAAAUAAAUGAAAUAAUCACCCAUGUCCUAAGCACACGCACACAAAAACAGAAGGAGAACCUUCCCCACUACCAGUCAGCCCUUAAAUGGGGUCUAGGAGAGGUGUAGCCAGGCUCCACCCCUUCUGGUCACACAGCUGAAUUGCCUUCACCUGUGCUCCCAUGGCUGACUCAGUGCUCGCCUCAGGUGAUCAAUCAGUGGUUCAGGCCAUGAUUCAAUAGUUCCCAUACAACUUGGCUUUCUGGCUCUGCUUCUCUUAACCUCCACUCCAUAGUUUCACAAUUUGUUAAACCAAUCAAAAGUCGUAUUACAACUGAAAACAAUAGUUUUGACCAUUCAUUCUGGCCUCUAUCCUCUGAUAGAUCUCCCCGAUCUGCCUGACAGCUGACUGUAUUGCAGGACAAAUUUUCUGUUGGGAAGGAAGUGACCUGUCUUACCCUGUACUGCAAGAUUACAAGAGUCAAAACAGCAAGACUGAAUGGACAGAGAUGGGAUCAGGGCGUCAGAAGCCUCAGUCAUGUGAAACCAACCAAGCAGUGGUGUCUUGAAAAGAAAUAUGUAGUGUCUGUAGCUCUUCAGGAAAUCUCAGCAUGGAUAUCCUGUUUUCUCAACCUGUAAUAAUGAACUGCUCUACCUCAUUUUCACUAUGCACAGGAUAUACAUGACUCCACCAUCUCUGUGUAUUUUGGGUUUUGCUCACUUAUUUUUAAAGUAGAAUAUACACAGUCUCUAAAAAGCAUGAGUCAGUGUCCUCUAUUAAUGUGCUCUUUUACCCUUUCUAAACUGGCAGUUUAUGACAACAGAACCACUUUUUCACUGUAGGAGAGGUAAACCUAUUUUGAAAAUUAUAAUAAGUCUUAGCAGACUUAUUCUACAGCAAAUGUCCCUUUUCAUGUAAUUCUAGUAAUUGAUUUGGCAGACUUUGAAAGAAUAAAAUACAUGUUAAAUUAUUGUCUUAGAGACUACAACAUUUAACUUGAAAGUCAUAUGACAAUUGUCAGGGACUAUGUUUGUAGGCACAGUGAAGGAAGAAUUCCUUUAGGAAAAAUUGAGAUUUUAAUUAUUGACUUCUAGGAAGACAUGAUUAACAAGGGCUUCUCAUCCUCAGUUAUCAAAUCCCAAGUGUCUGCUCCUGUAUCUGCUGUUUCUUAAGUCAAAUCCCCAAACUUCCUUCCAGUUUUCAGCAUAGCCUCAUUAAAUCAACUGUACUUAAACCUUCAGUAGAUUAGAACUUGUUAGGAGAAUGUAGAUGUAACACUUGAUUACCUUUCUAAAGCUGAUGACAAGAAUUGAUUUUUAGAGAUUUGUCACCCCUGGCAUAGCCAACAAUCCACCUCCUCCCUAUCCCCAACUUUCUCAUGCAUGAGGAAUUAACCCAUGCAUUUAGCAGACUUCCAGUAAAUAACCUAUUCUGCUCAUAGGCAAUUGUUGAAGUUUUGCCUCAGAAUAUGAAUGUUCCUAAAAUUUUGCAAUCUACUGAUACCAUAUGUCUUGUAUUAUCUUUAGAAAAGUAUCACCACCAAGAAAAGAGGUUGUACACCAUCACAGCAGGAGGCUUUGUGCUAUGUAAUUAGACCUAAGACAAGACCUAAAUUUUAUUGAGGCCAAGGACAGCUACACCACUGCUGUUUGCACUGGAAUAUUAAAUUAAUAGACAAAAGACCUAAGUAUACUGUUGAAAAACUGGUUAUAAUGGACUUGAUUUAUUUUGUUAAGUAUGCAUACGUUUUCUGCGAUGCAAAGCACACUAAUUCAUCAAGAAAAAUAAGCAAAAACAAUUAAAUUAUUUAAUAAUUAAUUAAAAAAAUAAUCAUUUUACUGAAUCAUCAUAUACCUCAGAUCAAUUUUGUAAUAGUAUAUAACAGCCUAUUAUAGUCGGCCAUGGCUAUUUAACAGUAUUUGCUUCUGCUUCACCACAAGUUAAAAAUUGAACAAACAGAAUAUAAUGUUGUUACUGUACUUUUUUUUGGUUUUUUUGUGGGCAGUUUUUCUAGCCAUUGUAAUUUGCUCUGAAAGUAAUGCCUCCUAUUUAUUUCCAUGGAAAUUACUACAGAUAUGAGGAACUCAAUAGCAUUAUUUAAUAGAGCAAAUUCUUAGCUACAAAACAUUAUUUUUCAACACAGUCACCAUCAUUAGCUGUGCAUUUUCACUAGCAAUGAACAAGAGCCUGCACUGCCUCACUGUGCUCACAUCCACUGUCUGGUGUCCGUAAACCUUCAGCAUGUGUUGAUGAAUGUCAGUGGGAGCCAUUUUCUUUGCAUGGAGGCAUUCAGUUUCACACCUUUUCUUCAUAUGCAUUUCCAUGUCAGACACUAUUUUGUCAGACUGCCCCUCUGCUGCCAUCUGUCACACGGCUACAAAAUGUAACAGAAUAUUGGUGGGGAGGUUCAGCUUCUACUGCCAUACCACCACCAUCUGCCUCUGACAUCUUUCGCCAACAUAAUAAAAUAGGAGGAGUUACUUUUGGAGCAGCUCUCAUUGAAUAUUAUUUUCAAGUAAGUUAGAUGGAGUAGAGUGCUAUCACUCUUUGACUUAUUGGAUGCAAGAUUAAUUAGCAGGUUAAUUUUAACAUUUGGUUACUAUCAAGGCUUUACAUAGCUUAACUCGUCCUUUCAAAAUGAUUUAUUGAUUACUUAUUCACAAGUUGUUUUCUUCGUUCAUCUUCCAAACAUUUACAUUCACCUCAUACGUAGGCUACAAAUGUUUUAUGUGGAUUAUAUGCAUUCACACAGUAUGUGCCCUUGGCAAUGAAAGUUCACUGCAAAUUUAAUCGUUUCUGAGUCACCUAUCCAAUUUCUUCUCUGAAGUUACAGUUGCAAAAUCUUAUUGGUAUUUUAUUUCAUUGUAAAAGCUUCAGAUAGUUACUUGAAUUAUCUGCUUAAUAAAGGAUGCAUUUAAUGAUCCUUUUUUUUUUCUUUUUUUCUCUCGUAAGCACAUUUCAUACUAACGAAUGCUCAAGUUACAUUUGUACAGGAAUUUUCUUCAUCCACUCUUGAAAUUUAGCUACACUGCUAAGAAGACUGCUGAAAAACAUGCAAAAAUAAGAUUAUUCACAUUUGACCAAAAAAGUCUGGAAACAUCCCCUUCUCUGACGAUAUCAUCAUGGCUCUCUAGUGUCUGUGAAUUGCCACCACAACUCUACUUUACAGAAGAUUUUGUCUAUAAAAUAUUCUGUUCUAAGUUUCAUGGAGCUCAAUUUGUCUCAGUUGGAAGAGUGAGAGUAGGGUUGCUAGAGUCUGCCAGUUUUGAACCUACAGUUCAAGGGAAUCCAGGUAUUUCAAACCCAGCUUGGAGCACUAGAACAGCUCCUCCACUUUUUGAAGUGCCAGCUUAAUGAAUCAUUCUCCACAAAAUAGUCGCUUCUGACAUUUCAGCCAAAGCCCUGCUGCUUUUUCAGAGCCUGUAUGCUUUUAUCUUACACACUGGUCUGAGCUGCAAAAAAUGUUCCAGUUUAUCACACAGUGUUCUGUACAGUCACUUAGAAAUAUGCUUGUGCUCGCUGAGUGAAUAUUGAUAAGAUAUCUCGAGACUGCGAUAAAAAUGGGGCAAAGAGAAGAUAUAUUUCAAAUUUGAUAAAUAAAGUCCUUAAAACAGUGAUAAAAGUCUUCUGAGAGUCCAUUAUUGAGAAUGAAUUCUCAGAUGUGUACGUGAAGUUGGGGGCUUAUUGUUUGGUCAUGCUCUUUCAAAGGUUUAGGGCUUUUGCUCUGUGUUUCUAAGAAAAAGCUCUUUGAAGGUCAUGUUUGUAUUCAAAGCCGUACUUAUUGUCUGUUUUUCCAUGCUAUCUACAUUACUGUUGCAUAUCGCGU